UAAAAUGUAUCCCCAUUGACUUUUUAAGCCU
rnacentral:piRNA from 1 species